rnacentral:rRNA from 1 species
AUUGAACGCUAGCGGCAGGCCUAACACAUGCAAGUCGAACGAGUGGCGGACGGGUGAGUAAUGUCUGGGAAACUGCCUGGUGGAGGGGGAUAACUACUGGAAACGGUAGCUAAUACCGCAUACCAUCGGAUGUGCCCAGAUGGGAUUAGCUAGUAGGUGGGGUAAAGGCUCACCUAGGCGACGAUCCCUAGCUGGUCUGAGAGGAUGACCAGCCACACGGGAACUGAGACACGGUCCAGACUCCUACGGGAGGCAGCAGUGGGGAAUAUUGCACAAUGGGGGAAAGCCUGAUGCAGCCAUGCCGCGUGUAUGAAGAAGGCCUUCGGGUUGUAACGUACUUUUAGCGGGGAGGCGUUACCCGCAGAAGAAGCACCGGCUAACUACGUGCCAGCAGCCGCGGUAAUAC